rnacentral:rRNA from 1 species
AAAAUUAGAGUGUUCAAAGCAGGCAGAUCCAAUUUUCUGCCACCGAAUACAUUAGCAUGGGAUAAUGGAAUAGGACCCUGUCCUCCUAUUUUCAGUUGGUUUUGGCAGCGCGAGGACUAGGGUAAUGAUUAAUAGGGAUAGUUGGGGGCAUUAAUAUUUAAUUGUCAGAGGUGAAAUUCUUGGAUUUAUGAAAGAUUAACUUCUGCGAAAGCAUCUGCCAAGGAUGUUUUCAUUAAUCAAGAACGAAAGUUAGGGGAUCGAAGACGAUCAGAUACCGUCGUAGUCUUAACCAUAAACGAUGCCGACCAGCGAUUAGGAGACGUUGAAUACAAAACACCACCAUCGGUGCGGUCGUCCUUGGCGUCUCGGUCCUUCACGGGGCCGGGGCGCGGGGGUGGCUAGCCC